GCAGUGCAGCGCCUCCGCACCUUCCUCGUCUUCGCCACCGCCGAGCUCGUAUCCUCCGUGCAUGUCGCCGUUGACGGAGUUCCGUCCGCGCCGGCCAGAGAACAUCUCGCCGGCAUGCAGCUCCUCAAGCAUGUUCAGAACCUCCGUGCGGGCCUCCUCGGGCCCCACGCCGUCGCCGUCGCUGCAGCUCUGUCCGCGCUUUCCAUCCUUGACGUGGGGUUUGCCUCCGCCGCACGACGACCGGGAGCCUCGCGCGCGCUCGACAGCACCAAGACGAAUCUCCGCGUCCGUGUCGUCGCCUGGAGGUCGCACCAGGUGACGGCCGUCAUCGAAGCUAUGUCCGUGCCGCUCUGACCCGGCGCGGCGCACGCUGCUGUCGGCGACGACGUCUCCAGCACGUCCGAGACGCUCAGAUGGGCCGGCCUAGUCCACCUCGCCAUCCUCUCACAGUCCCAGUCGAGCGUCAGCCGUCGCAGCUAGCUGAUAACAGCCGUUGGAUCAAGAUCCUAGGGCCGCUUACCUCUUCGUCUUGUCCGACGCAAGUGGGCAGGCCAAGGUCGGUGCAGCCCAAGUAUUUUAGAUCUCAGCCAGAAAAGAUACGAACGCCGCCGAAAAAGAAGAUCGGAAUCAUCCCAGAGAUUCGAAGAUGAAGUCCAGGGACAAAUAGCCAACAAAGGCAAGCCACCUCUUGAUGCAUCUCUGAUCCUAUAUAUAUCUUACUCUUGCAUUAUUACAGGUUUUAUAAAGUGCAUUGUCUUUUUAUUUUCAUUUCGGUGGUUAGUGCCACCCGGAGUUUUAUUAAUCUACCCUUAGGGUGCAGCCCUCGUUGGUACC